CGCCGAGCCGCCCUUAAGUCGCCGCCGCGUUUGGCUGGUAAUUUUGCUUGUGGUCUGGGAGGUACGGGCAAGAGGAGCGGCCGGGAUGCCUUGUCGGAAGUUGGCAGGGACGAGUAGUCCAUGGAAACGACGGGCGCCGCCGAGGCCGUCCCCGAAGAACUGGUGAUCUUCAAAGAGGCCAUAAGAAGUCUAGCAAAGGAUGAACUGACUGCACCUGAGUUGUUUGAUAUUAUGUAUAGGUUGAGACAAAAACUCAACAGUUAAAAAAAUGACUCAUUUUUUGGAAGUAAGACCGCUUCAGAACUAAAAAAAAAAAAAGUCAUCAAAAAAGAGCAGUCAACACACUCCCUUUAUCCAGUGUAUGGCAAAAAUUAACUGAAUAA